UCCCUGGAGGACUAGUGGUUAGACCACAGUGCUUUCAACGCUGCAGCCUGGGUUCGAUCCCUGGCCAGGGAA